UGUGGCUUUCCCAAACUCGCAAACACCCUGCAGCCGCUCUGCUGGUGCUAGAUUUUGUCUGCAAACGAUGAUAAAUGAACUUUGAUAAAGCCAGAGUGCAUGUACUCACCGAUGCCUGGUAUGAUGUGGAACUGGUCGUUGACCUCCUUGUCUACGGCGGUGGUGAUGAUCCGAACUUUAGGGAAGGCGUAGGCCACCGAAUGGACCCCCAUCUCAGCCAUCAGCAGGGACAACAGGAAGAUCUUAUCCUCAGCUACAUCGUGGUCCUUCAUGUGGAGAAACACAGAACUUAUUUCUAGAUGAUGUCGGUGAAAGAACACAUCCAAGCAGAAUGAAUAAUUUCAUAUAUUUACAUAAUAACUUCGGCUUCAUUAGCAGCAUCACAGGGUAAUAAAUACUAAUGACCUGAGCCUGCACAAUGUUUGAUAAUGGAUAAAAUAAAUCACCUGUAGGACUUUUAUUAAACUGAUGGUAUCUUUUAAAAACAA